rnacentral:rRNA from 1 species
AACGAACGCUGGCGGCAUGCCUAACACAUGCAAGUCGAACGAGACCUUCGGGUCUAGUGGCGCACGUGUGCGUAACGCGUGGGAACCUGCCCUUAGGUUAGGAAUAACUCCCCGAAAGAGGUCCUAAUAAAGCAUAAUGUAAUCGGACCAAAGAUUUAUCGCAUUUGGAUGGGCCCUCGUUGGAUUAGCGAGUUGGUAGGGUAUAAGCAUGCCAAGGCGACGAUCCAUAGCUGGUCGGAGAGGAGGAUCAUCCACACUGGGACUGAGACACGGCCCACACUCGUACGGGAGGCAGCAGUAGGGAGUAUUAGACAAGGGGCGAAGGCCUGAUCCAGCAAUGCCGCGUGAGUGAUGAAGGCCUUAGGGUUGUAAAGCUCUCUUAGCCGGGAUGAUAAUGACAGUACCGGGAGAAUAAGCUCCGGCUAACUCCGUG